CGGGGUGUGGCGCAGCUUGGUAGCGCGCUUCGUUCGGGACGAAGAGGUCGUGGGUUCAAUUCCCGCCACCCCGA
rnacentral:tRNA from 3 species